rnacentral:rRNA from 1 species
AUUGAACGCUGGCGGCAGGCCUAACACAUGCAAGUCGAGCGGAUGAUGGGAGCUUGCUCCUUGAUUCAGCGGCGGACGGGUGAGUAAUGCCUAGGAAUCUGCCUGGUAGUGGGGGACAACGUUUCGAAAGGAACGCUAAUACCGCAUACGUCCUACGGGAGAAAGCAGGGGACCUUCGGGCCUUGCGCUAUCAGAUGAGCCUAGGUCGGAUUAGCUAGUUGGUGGGGUAAUGGCUCACCGAGGCGACGAUCCGUAACUGGUCUGAGAGGAUGAUCAGUCACACUGGAACUGAGACACGGUCCAGACGCCUACGGGAGGCAGCAGUGGGGAAUAUUGGACAAUGGGCGAAAGCCUGAUCCAGCCAUGCCGCGUGUGUGAAGAAGGUCUUCGGAUUGUAAAGCACUUUAAGUUGGGAGGAAGGGCAGUAAGCUAAUACCUUGCUGUUUUGACGUUACCGACAGAAUAAGCACCGGCUAACUCUGUGCCAGCCGCCGCAGUAACAC